rnacentral:sRNA from 1 species
GUUAAAGAAAAAAUAUCAUGUUUUCUAUUGUUGUCUCCUGAACUGUUCUCUUAGAAUAAGCUGAUUAUAAUACUUUAGCAU